rnacentral:rRNA from 1 species
GACGAACGCUGACGGUGUGCUUUAGACAUGCAAGUCGAGCGAGAAAGCCCUUCGGGUUAGUAAAGCGGCGAACGGGUGAGUAACACGUGGGCAAUCUGCCCCUCGCAGGGGGACAACCGGGGAACUCCGGCUAAUACCCCGUAAGCUAUGUGGAUCGCAUGGUUCACAUAGGAAAGGUAGCUUCGGCCAUCCGGCGAGGGAUGAGCCCGCGGUACAUUAGCUAGUUGGUGGGGUAACGCCUACCAAGGCGGCGAUGUAUAGCUGGUCUGAGAGGAUGAUCAGCCACACUGGGACUGAGACACGGCCCAGACUCCUACGGGAGGCAGCAGUCGGGAAUCUUGCACAAUGGGCGAAAGCCUGAUGCAGCAACACCGUGUGAGCGAUGAAGGCCCUAGGGUCGUAAAGCUCUGUUGUUGGGGACGAAGGGCG